rnacentral:SRP_RNA from 1 species
UCGUGCUAGACGGGGUGGUGGCGGAAUCCUGUAACCUGCAAUCCGCUGUAGCAGGGUGGAAUUCCUGCGCGAGGGCAACGCUUGUGGAGCGGCCAAGUCUAACUUGCGAUGAAAUUUGGGUCUUACGCAACAGAGCACUUCGAACCGUGUCAGAUCCUGACGGAAGCAGCACUAAGGAGCACGCUAUGUGUGCCGUAAGGUCGCCUGAACUGAGCAAGAAAGCUUGGAUUCGUCCGGAAGUGUUUGUUCGGACAAAGGUGCACGA